GAGAGGAGUUAGCAGCAGAAAGAAACUAUGUGCGAUGAAGGGUGGGGUGGGAAAAAGCACUCUCUUAUUAAAAUAUUUGUUAUGUAACUUCAACCAAUACACGUCACCUACUGAGUAAAGGAUAUUGUUCAUUCUGAGCAAUUACUCAAAUUGUUUCACAGUGUGUUCUAUUUAUUUGUAUGAGCAUGGUUAAUAUGCAAACUGGAUCAUCCCUUGGAAACCUGAAAGUGAAUUUUGUGAUAAUACAAGGAAUCCUAGGGUAAUCAUACCAGAUGUCUUCUGCAUGCCUUAAUUUACAAAUGCCAACAAUAAAAAGGAGGAAGAAGGAGCCAGGAAGAUUGGAUGCAGUAGCCACCAAGACGCCAAGUUAGAGUCAUGUGAAAGCUUUUUGCCAUAUAACUGACCACUGCCUUCCCAGCCAUCAACUCUUCUUUGAGCCGUUUUUUCUCCUUCUUUCUUACAACAACAACUCACUACCCUUCAACUUUAAACUUUCUGCAAAUAACAUAUGGGGAAGUUAUCACUGUCAAGCCUAGAUGUGUGGUGUUAUCGGAAUAAUGAACUUCUCUUUAAGGAAUAUGUAAAAUGCUCCAGUGUGUUGCUCCCCUCUAUGUGUCCAUGUGGUCUCAUCAUUUAGCUCCCACUUACAGGGUCUCUCUCUGUCACCAAACCUGGAGUGUAGUGAUGCGAUCAUGGCUUACUACACCCUCAACCUCCGGUGCUCAAGCCAUCCUCCCACCUCAGCCUGCUGAGUUGCUGGGACUACAGACUCAUGCCACCAUGCCUGUCUAAUUUUUGUAUUUUUUGUAGAGAUAAGGUUUUGCCAUGUUGCCUAGGCUGGCAAGUUAACUAUUAAAAAUGAAUGAUCUCAUGCUCAUAGCUUGCUGUCCAUUUUAAAUACAGUUAUCUGGCAACAUAAUUGGGUAGGCUCAAGGCUGGGCUAGGCACUUUUGUUACAGUGAUGAAUACAUCUAGGCAUACUAUGGAAACAAGAACAUAUUUAAUUCUAAGACCUGAUCAAACCAAUCUUGAAUCACCUAAUGUGUAAAGAACACGUGUUAAAUUGACAAAUUUCCCUUAGAAGUAUGGAACUAAUUCAAUAGCUUUUAAAAUAUUAUUUCCCCUAUCAAUCUAUUAGUCACUUUGGAGAGAUGUAAACAGCAAAGUCAGCAAGCAUUCUUUGAUAUCACAUGUAUAAUCUUGUUUUGAAAAACUGCUCCUGCCUAGUACAUCUUCUGGUGAUAAAUUUCUAGUGAAGAAAACAUCUGGUAAAACUUACUUAUCACCAUGGUCUCAUAAUGAAAAAUGGCAUCCUCAGGAAAAGAGUCUCCUAAAGAUGCAAUUUCUGGAACAAGGUUCUGUGAUAUCUAACAAUGCAACCCUGCAUCACUUCUCUUUACCCAGGCAUUAAAAACAAUUCUCAAUUUUCAAACAUACUGUAUGUCACAUGUGUUAUCGGCAAAUGUAUUUUUCCAUCAAAUAAACAUUACGGUAAUGAUUGGGUUGCCAGUCCAGUCACUACAAGCCUAUUUGAAUCACAAUGUACAGAAAUCUGUUAGGAAGACCACUCCACAAACUAUCCAUCAUGUGUAAGCAUGUUUCUCUUUAGGAAGUAUAUUAAAAAUUUCAUCCUGGACAACCAGAAAUACUUCCUGCUUCUUCCACUUCCCUAAUUUACUCAAAAACUGGGGCAUAUUACAAUUUCUUGCUCAGCAACCUGGCUCUCAUUUUUUAGGCUAAAGAAGUCAUCUAUCUGAACAGAAUCUAGAGGUCAGGACUGAAAUGAACACUUAGGCUGGAUAAAUGAAAAGAGGAAAGAGCUGAUAAGAGUAUUUGGACUACUGAUCCACUGAAAGUGUUUAGCACACACAAAAAAAUGUUUUUCCAUUUCUCCUGUCUGGCUUUAUCAUAGGUUGAACACCCCUUGUACAAUGAAUCCCAAUGCAAGAUUUUAAACCCAUCUGUUAAUUACAUACUUUUAAUAUUAUAACACUGUAAAGUUUUUUUGCAGUUUACCCAGAGAUAAAUUAUAUUAAGUAUGUAAAGUAAGUCAUUCAAUACUUUUUCUAGUAAAGAAUAGAAUGUGUAUGUAAUGGUUCACAGAUUUUGAAUCAUGCUGUAUAUACAGUUUUGUACUCACUGUCAAUGAAUAAUGAAGAUUUGCAUAUGAUAGUUUCUUAAUAUGAUUUUCAUUAGUGUAUAGUAUAAUAAUUAUUGGGCACAAUAUUUUUUAAAUUUAUUUAAUUUAAAUUGUAAUUUAAAUAUUAAUUUAAUUAAUCGAUUUAAUUUUAAUUAAUUUAAUUAAUUUGCACAAUUAUAACAUUAAUGAACACUAUUACACAUCAAGCUUUGUGUACUAAUUUUAUAUUUAUAAUAUUGGAAAAUUAGAAAUAAUGAGUAAAUAGAUACUUUAAAGCUUGGCAUAUAUAUUGACGUUUUUCAAUCCUAGCUUCACAUAAUUAUUUCGGAAGCUUUUAAAAAAUGUUACCUGCGUGUGCACUAUUAAAGUUUUAGUUUGAUCAAUCUCAGGUAGGACCCAAUUUCCCUUGCAUUUAAAAGUUCCCCAGGUGAUUCAAGUAUAAAUUCCAGCUAAAGGCUGAUAUUCACAUUAACAAAUUUAAGCAUAUCAAUUCACACUCCUCCAACAUUGUAAAAAUUGUCUAUUCAGUCUAAAAUUGUGUAUUAUCCUUAUUUUAACCUUGGUCAAGUAAGUGACAAUGGUAUCCAUUAUCAUCUUAAUUUGCAUUUUUUUAUUCAAACUGAAAAUUUUCCAAAAUAUUCGUUAUACAUUUGUAAUUUUCCUUUUAUUAAUUGCCUCUUCAUAUUCCAUGCCCAUUUGUUCACUUGCAAUGUUCAGGUUUUUAUUAUUGUCAACAAUAAUCUAUGAGAAUUAUUCUGCCAAAUACAGCAGAUCUGUCAUUUAUCUUUUAAUUUUGUUGAUGUUGCAGGUUAUAUAAAAAUGUAAAAUAAUUGAAUCUACUUUUUUCAUAUAGUUUUCUAUUAUUAUUAUUAUCCUCAUUUAAGCCAGAUGUCAGCUGAUAUCACUAUACUUCUUAAAACCAAACUAAAACCAUGCAUUUCGAAGUUUAUUUUCUUGUUCACCUCAGGCUCUAGGCUUCAGAUUCCAUCAAAUUAGUUCAAUUUAAUAAUCAUCUUACCAUCACCAUACUCAUUUGUAUAUCUGUGUGUAUGACUAUGUGUGUAUAUUAACUUCUAUACAAUUGUAUAAAUUAUGUAGGUUCAUGG
rnacentral:lncRNA from 10 species